AGGGCCUUAACUAAAGCCCUGUGAAGUAAUUUGAGUCUUUCCAUUGACUUCAGUGGGCUUUGGAGCAGGC
rnacentral:miRNA from 1 species